rnacentral:rRNA from 1 species
UUUGUUUUUUAAUUAAAAACUAGAAUGAAAGAUUUUACAUUUUAAUUUCUUUAUUAAAUAUAAUAUACUAACUUAUAUUAAAUAUAAAAAUAUAUUUAUAAAAUAAAAAGACGACAAGACCCUAUUAAAUUUUACUUAUUGUUUAGCUGGGGCAGCUUUUUAAAUAAAACUUUAAAAUUUAUAAUAUAAUAAUAUAUCUAUACUAAAAUUAAAAAAUCUAUUAUAAAUAAAUUAAUCUAAUUACUAUAGGGAUAACAGCGUUAUAUUUUUUUCAAGUUCAUAUUUAAAAAAAUCAUUGCGACCUCGAUGUUGAAUUAUAUUUCUUUAUUAAUGCAAUAAUUAUAAA